CGAGCCAGACCCUGGCGGCGCGUCUCGGAUCUCGAAUCUCCGCCGCCCAUUUCCCCCACGGCCGUUGCCUAACUCCCCUGUAGUUUUUUUUCACACGUUUUGGUUUGCUAAACAUCGUCGUCGCCGUUGUGGUUACCGUUUGGUCUUCUUGAUGACUUGGCGGGAAAAGAUUGCACCCCAAACAGCCGUCAAAUCUGCACACGUGGCACUUAUCCAUAACUUCGUUCGCUUGAAACAACGCGUCGUCAAAAUCACGGCUGAUCCCAGCAGUACUAACAGUGGAAGUCACAAGGGGAACGAAAUCGGAAGGAAUAUCAACGGCGGAGACGGAGACUGCGGAGGUGGAGGUGGGGGUAUAACCAGCGACGACGUUUUUUAAGGCGGCGACCAUGAUGGAGAUUUCGUGUUCAGGAGACAGACGAUGAACCGAUGGCGGCGGUACUGGGGUAAGUCUCUGUCUUUUCAUGGGCUUCUGCAUAAGCUUGGUAGCGACUUGUACUGAGAUUUGUCCUUUGAGGAUUUGGCUUCGCUUUUUCAGGUAUUUU
rnacentral:lncRNA from 1 species